rnacentral:tRNA from 1 species
GCGCAUUUGGCGGAAUUUGGCAGACGCGCUGGAUUUAGGUUCCAGUGCCUUUGGGCGUGUGGGUUCGACUCCCACAAUGCGCA